UACAGAGGGGGCAAGCGUUGUUCGGAAUUACUGGGCGUAAAGGGCGCGUAGGCGGCCCGCUAAGUCGAACGUGAAAUCCCCGAGCUCAACUCGGGAACUGCGUCCGAUACUGGCGGGCUUGAAUCCGGGAGAGGUGAGUGGAACUCCGAGUGUAGAGGUGAAAUUCGUAGAUAUUCGGAAGACCACCAGUGGCGAAGGCGGCUUGCCAGAAUGCGCUCGACGGUGAGGGAUGAAAGCUGGGGGAGCAAACCGG
rnacentral:rRNA from 1 species